AUUGAACGCUGGCGGCAUGCCUUACACAUGCAAGUCGAACGGUAACAGGUCUUCGGAUGCUGACGAGUGGCGAACGGGUGAGUAAUACAUCGGAACGUGCCCGAUCGUGGGGGAUAACGAAGCGAACGCCUUGCUAAUACCGCAUAAGAUCUACGGAUGAAAGCAGGGGACCGCAAGGCCUUGCGCGAACGGAGCGGCCGAUGGCAGAUUAGGUAGUUGGUGGGAUAAAAGCUGACCAAGCCGACGAUCUGUAGAUGGUCUGAGAGGACGACCAGCCACACUGGGACUGAGACACGGCCCAGACUCCUGCGGGAGGAAGCAGUGGGGAAUUGUGGACAAUGGGCGAAAGCCUGAUCCAGCCAUGCCGCGUGAAGGAUGAAGGUCUUCGGGUUGUAAACUGCUGUUGUACGGAACGAAAGGACUCUUGCUAAUGAAGAGGGUCCAUGACGGUACCGGAAGAAUAAGCACCGGCUAACUACGUGCCAGCCGCCGCAGUAAGAC
rnacentral:rRNA from 1 species